rnacentral:rRNA from 1 species
GUCUUACACAUGCAAGUCGAGCGGUAAGGCCCUUCGGGGUACACGAGCGGCGAACGGGUGAGUAACACGUGAGCAACCUGCCCCCGACACCGGGAUAAGCCGUGGAAACGCGGUCUAAUACCGGAUACGACACGCCCCCGCAUGGGGUGCGUGUGGAAAGGGUUUCUGGUCGGGGAUGGGCUCGCGGCCUAUCAGCUUGUUGGUGGGGUAACGGCCUACCAAGGCGAUUACGGGUAGCCGGCCUGAGAGGGCGACCGGCCACACUGGGACUGAGACACGGCCCAGACUCCUGCGGGAGGCAGCAGUGGGGAAUAUUGCGCAAUGGGCGGAAGCCUGACGCAGCGACGCCGCGUGGGGGAUGACGGCCUUCGGGUUGUAAACCUCUUUUACCACUCACGCAGGCCCCGGGUUCUCCCGGGGUUGACGGUAGGUGGGGAAUAAGGACCGGCUAACUACGUGCCAGCAGCCGCGGUAAUACGUAGGGUCCGAGCGUUGUCCGGAAUUAUUGGGCGUAAAGAGCUCGUAGGCGGCGUGUCGCGUCUGCUGUGAAAGACCGGGGCUUAACCCCGGUUCUGCAGUGGAUACGGGCAUGCUAGAGGUAGGUAGGGGAGACUGGAAUUCCUGGUGUAGCGGUGAAAUGCGCAGAUAUCAGGAGGAACACCGGUGGCGAAGGCGGGUCUCUGGGCCUUACCUGACGCUGAGGAGCGAAAGCGUGGGGAGCGAACAGGAUUAGAUACCCUGGUAGUCCACGCCGUAAACGUUGGGCGCUAGGUGUGGGGGCUUUCCACGGUUCCCGUGCCGCAGCUAACGCAUUAAGCGCCCCGCCUGGGGGAGUACGGCCGCAAGGCUAAAACUCAAAGGAAUUGACGGGGGCCCGCACAAGCGGCGGAGCAUGUUGCUUAUUUCGACGCAACGCGAAGAACCUUACCAAGGGUUUGACAUCACCGGUAAUCCAUCGGAGACGGUGGGUCCUUCGGGGAUCGGUGACAGGUGUGCAUGGCCUGUCGUCAGCUCGUGUCGUGAGAUGUUGGGUUAAGUCCCGCACGAGCGCAACCCUUGUCCAUGAUGCCAGCACGGGAUGGUGGGACUCCUGUAGACUGCUGGGUCCACUCGGAGAAGCGUGGGAUGACGUCUAG